UCUCUUCCACAAAUUCAUAAAAAUUAGCAAGAUUCGAGACCAAAAACUAAGCAUAGAAAAAAAAAUCAAUUUGGCCCAAUUUUUGAAAAAAAUAUAAGCUCCAAAACACCCCCCCACACUUAAAGCAUGCCAUGUCCUCAGGGCAUAAAAGAAAUAAGAAGAGUGUAGAAAACAUCCCUGAUUUUCGGCAUUUGAAAAACUGAAUCAUCGUGAGAGGUGGCGAAAAGGAGGGUUUGCGGCCUUGAGCAGAGGAAAGAGUGGCCGCGCUGGACAGAUGCAGCGAAGAAAAUGGCUGCGCUGGAUAGGUGCAGCGAGAAAAAGUGCAGCGAAGAGAGUGGCUGCGCUGGAACAUGAAGACCACCAGAAAUCUGGCAUAGAAACACCUGCCCCAAACUAAACAAAGAAACAAAAAGAAACAAAAAGAAACAAAACUACACUAAAAGAAAGAAAAACAAAACAAAGAAAAACAGUUGGGUUACCUCCCAACAAGUGCUUAAUUUAACGUCUAGAGCUCGACGAUACCUUCAAUCACGGAUCGACGAAGUUGACCACUUCCACGUCGCGGUCCAACUUUGCUUUGAAGUAUGGUUUGAGGCGAUGGCCAUUAACAGUGAAAGUAGACCCAUUCGACGCAAGCAACUCAUAGGUCCCAUUCCAAUUGCUCUUGUGAACCACGUAAGGAC
rnacentral:lncRNA from 1 species